GAGUACAGGCCUCAUUCCUUCGACGAUAAACGCGAAUCCAAACAUCACACCUGCUGAGACAAAACCGUUACAGUGAAGACAACUUUUUGCCAGUCCUGUCUGGUCCAGCAACGUGCAAAAGCAAGCAUCAUCCUCCACCAGGAGACAAGCGUCCGGCAUCCCUGAUGUGCCAGAGAAAGCAGAGGCCUCAGUGACGAGGUUUGGAUCCAGAGUUGUGUUACUCAAAGUAAACCCCAGGGACAAGCUGAACGUACUGACUGACCUGGAUGAGCAGAACCUGUCCUACAUCCCGAACUUCCAGGAGGCGGC
ensembl:lncRNA